rnacentral:lncRNA from 1 species
UCAUCCUGCCCUCCCAGGUGCUGGGGGCCCAGUCAGGAGGGGCUCAGGUCUGCAGAGGCCGUCUCUCACCCAGCCCCUGUUUCGUUCGGCGUUGCGGGCUCAGGCCGCUGCCUCUGUCACAGACCUGCACACAGAACCCCAGCUGGCUUUGAGAGGACUCCAGGUGUCUCCGCCGUGUCUACACCUGGUUUGUGUUAUCUACCCAGAACGCAAGAUUAUUUAAUUAGGAAAAGUUCCCCAAAGUUCCUUGACGGCUAUUGCUUCCUGUAUCAUUUUAUUCCACGUUGACUAUUACCAUCAGCGUACGGCAAUAUAUGUAGCACGCUCUCUCACGCACUAGUAACAACCUGGAUUAUUCAUCUUUUAAACUUUGAUCGCCGAAGGGAAACAAAGCCUCUCCUUUCUCCCUCAUCACUUGGAUCCGUGGCGCAGCGGGACAGCGCUCCCCGCUCUGUGCGCCAUCUUUAUUUCCUCCUCUGGGAAUUAUUUGUUCCAAGCAGGAGGCUCAGCAGUGAGUGGGGGCUGAAUGGAGACCUGCAUUCCAGGCCUGGUGUCCUAGGUGACGAGGCCUCCAGCCAGAGCAUUUCUCCUUCCUCACAGCCCAGAUGCCCUUGAAGCCAAGGUCACGUCCCUGAAUCUUCUGCCCAUCCUCGUUCCUCACCACUGGCUCCUGCGGGUGGUGCAGCGCCCACCUCCUUCUGUGCUCCUGCCCUGAAGCCUGUGUCCCUCCACACAGACAAGGCUAGAGCAUCUUCAGUGAAUCUAUCGCAGGCAACGUGACUGUUUCCUGAUGCCUAUGGUGUGGUCAAAUCCCUCCUUCCACCCCGGGCCUCUGGACUGGAAGGCUGUGGUCAUGCUGGUUCUUGCAGCCCUGAUCUCCCCUUGGGCUCCUGGUGCCACGUCGUGCCUGUCCAAGCCACUCAGCUUCAGGAGGAAGAGGUGUUUGCCCUGCUGGUUCCCUGCAAGAAUAUUCAGAGGCACUCUGCAGCCCACAGGGUAA